rnacentral:rRNA from 2 species
GACGAACCGAGCGAACGUUGUUCGGAAUCACUGGGCUUAAAGGGCGCGUAGGCGGGCAUUCAAGUCUGUGGUGAAAUCCUCCGGCUCAACCGGAGAACUGCCUCGGAUACUGGGUGUCUCGAGGGUGAUAGGGGUAUGCGGAACUAUCGGUGGAGCGGUGAAAUGCGUUGAUAUCGAUAGGAACUCCGGUGGCGAAGGCGGCAUACUGGAUCACUUCUGACGCUGAGGCGCGAAAGCCAGGGGAGCAAACGGG